GUUCUGAAUCAAAUAGCACAACAUUAAGUUAAUUUUAUUUUGUUAAGUAUCUUUGGUGCUCAAUUAAAGGAAACUUUUUUGGAAGCAGAAUGCAUAGAAACAGAAUUAUAAUCUACCAUAUUCUCUUUUCAAAUGGUAAAUUGAAAUAUUUUAUAGCAGAUACACUCUGAGAAAAUAAGAAGGAUAUAACUUUUAAUGUUUCUAGUUCUCCUUAAUCGACUUCUUAUCUCUUUAAUUGUUCUUUCAUACUCUCCCCUUUUCCUGCUCUUAUGGUACUGAUCCAAAAUUCAGCAGAAUCCAUCCUCACCAACUGACAAAGCUCCUACUGAACCACUCCUAUUCAUUCAUUCUCAUUGGCUCCAUUUCCCUGGUUCACACACCUCUUCCUAUGAUAUCACUGUGGUUUUAUCCCAUCUCUGCCUAGUCACAUCUCAUUUUGGCCACGUUAAUCAGGCUUUACAGUUAUAUCUUUUUUCAUUCCUGGCCCUCAGACAGACUUUUUUUCAUUCCUGGCCCUCAGACAGACAGGCUCAAAAAUCUACCUAAAAGCCAUCAUGCCCAUAUUCACUACUGUAAGGAGCUUUUCCCAAACAUCGUGAGACUAUCUUAUAGAUUAAAAAAUGUAACUGUGUAAAAACAUGGACUUAAGACUGAGAGCUGGAUACUCUAUCAUGUGGCAUAUAAAGCUUGCAUCCACAUCUGCCCACAUUCCUUUGGAGAAUUUGUAUUUUUUAUUCAAUGUUUUGUUAUUCAUAUUUGGAAAUUCCUUUUCAGUACUAAUAUUUGGAAAAGAGGAAUAUUUUGUUAUCAGUCCUCAAGUUUUAAUUUGAAGAUUUUAACAGAAUUUGGGAUGACAGUAUGGGAAACUGUGGAACAUUAUUAAGAAUUACUACUCUAAACCUCUGGGGAGUUUUGAGCUCAGAUUUAUUAAAUACUGCAAAAUCCUAAGCCAUUGCAAUAAUAGUCUCAUAUAUAGUAUGUCUAAAAAGAUGGACCUGGGGUCAGUUCUGAAUUAUUACAUUCCUCUUCUACACUCAUGAGGAGGAGAGAAUGGAAGAACAAGUGUCUCAUAGCGACAUAGAAUCACAGAAUCAUAGAACUGCUCAGGUUGGAAAAGACCCUAAAGAUCAUCAAGUCCAACCACAACCUAACCAUACCACCCUAACUCUAACAACCCUUCACUAAAUCAUGUCCCUGAGCACCACAUCCAAAUGGUUUUUAAACAUCUGGCACUGUAAGCACUACAGGCCAAGUCUUAACAAGCAGCUUAUAAACUUUUAUUUGAACUUUUCUAUUUAAGCUGGUUGGAAGUGAAAAAUAAAAAUAAUAGACACUCCAUCUCAAGCUUUGAAAUUGCUUCUAAUUAAUAACUGUGAGGAAGAAAUUUUAAAGAAAAUAAGGAGAAGAAGUGGUAAGAUCUUUGUCUGGCCUACUCUGUUCUAUUUCAAAUGAGAAAUGCAAUUGUUCAUCAAAAUAGCCUGUCUGAUUUGGACAUUGUAGGAUUUGUUUUCGCCUUGUUAAUGCAACAGCCUUCAAUCUUGGUGCAGCCUCUGGGUGCAACAGUAAAAAAGAAUAAAAAAAUAGAAAAAACAAUUUUUUAAAAGAGUAAUAGAUAAGAUUGGGGAACAGCAAGAAAAGUAACACUUGCUUGAGGGAUUACCUUCAUAUAAUUCUGUCAAGGCAAUUGCAUAAAACUUUUCAGUUGGUAAUUUUCACAUUCAAGCCACACAUUUCUUUCCUUCUAGCAGUCAGUUGCCAGGUCAUAGAGAAAAGAAGGUUCUUUUCAGUGAUAUCUCUUUAAUUAAUCAACUGAAUAUUAGCAAUCCCGAGAAACUGUAUUACAUAUCAAAUAGAUGACAUGAAAAUUAUGUACUGGGGAGAAGUACUCCACUGUCACUGUAAAGAAAAACUGUAAAAUAAAUAUCUAAUAGGGUGCUGUCUGUUUAAGGAAUAGUCAUAUGUUCCUCAUGGGGUAGCUGCCCCUGUCGAGCUCACUUUGUUGUGCAUUCUACUAUUCCACUUGGGGUGAGAACACACAAACAAAAUCCUAAAUCCUCAUAACAUACAAGAGAAAAUGGUAGAGAUCCCCAAGGACAUUUCAAUUGGCCAUUGGUAUUUGUCAAUAAAGCAAUUUAGGUCUCAAAAGAAUUUAUAUAUUGAAUCACUCCCUACCUGCUCUGCAGAAUGAGAAGCUUCAUUAUAUUAAAAAUAUGCUUCAAAAGAAAGGAACUAAACAGGCUUGAAUGGAUAUUAACCACUUUUGCUUUCUGGAUGAGGGACUGGGAGCACCGCACCUCUAGAUGUUGCAAAAUAUUAUUUCUUAAGGUCUGGCCUCAAAGUGCAACCUACAUUAAUGCCUGAGGUACACAGGUGUUGCCUUCAGCAACUGUGAUGUUAGCAUCCUGUGUUAGCCCUAGCACGUACUGGCCAACUACCUGGUCAGGGCCAAAUGACUGCAAACGUACACCAAUAUGAUGAGCAGUAAAAUGGUAUUUAUUCACUACUAUGCACAGCUUAUAUAUUUUAACUUAAGCAACUGUGCCGUCAUGUUCUGCCCUGAUUGGUUCGCACUGGAUAACAUCGUGCCUUAUUUAGUUGCUUCCUCAUUCCUUCACAUCCUUCCUCUUUCUUGUUUUCUCGGCAGCAAGGUCAGUUUGUUAGAGCACGAUAGCACCGUCUCACUAUGCUUAGGGAGAAGCCUGUCCCAUACAUCCCGUAUCCCCACAAAAUGCCUACUACAAUACACAGGUGUCCUAUGCAGUACACAACGAGAAUUAGGUAUACUGGGAGAUCUUCAGACAGGAUCCAGAAUAAAAGUUGCUUUGAGCUUGUGCUAGGUAAAUCUCUUUGCUGGGAGGGAUUGCUGUCAAGUUAGCUAAAGGAAGAAAGACGUCAAACAAGGUUAUCUCCAGGGCUCAGGGUAUUUGGGAGUAAUUUGUCUCCACUUGUGUUCUUCAACCUAAAAAAUUUCUUCUGGUAUGAAGCAUCUAGGCUCAAAUGCACGAUAACGUGGAUGUGAUUCAGUAGAUCCAAAGGACCCCCAACUGUUAUGUAGCAAAUGAACUUGGGAUCUCAUGACACCGGACAGUGAUGUGUUCAGUGCC
rnacentral:lncRNA from 1 species